rnacentral:rRNA from 1 species
GUUAUUUUGAUUUAUUGCUUAUUUUAAAAGAAUACUAGAAUAGAUACAAAAAUUAAUAAAAAGGGUAUUAGUAAUUAAUAAAGAAAUUUAUUUGUUAGCGAUAGAGUAUAAGUACUGAAUGGGAAAUUAAAGUUAAAUGAUUUUUAAAACAAAAAAGUAGAUUUAAAUUUUUGUACCUUGUGUAUCAGGGAUAAUUAAAAUUAUUCAUAGAAGAUGAAGAUCCCGAAAUAAAGAUAGCUAAUAUUGUAAUUAGUUUUUUGUAACAUAAAAAUUUAUAAUAUAAUAUUAAAGAUGAGAUGUCAAACGAGUUUUAUAAUAUCUGGUUUUUUAGGAAUAAAAUAUAAUUUGAUUAUUGAAAUGAAAUAAGUUCAAUAUUAAAGGGUAGGAGGGAUGAGCUUCUUAUCACUAUAAAAAUCAAACAAUAGGGUUGAGUUGAAAAAAUUAGUGUUUUCUAGGCUUAAAAGUAGCUAUGAAAUUAAAGUGUUCUAAUUUAGAUCUAAGAGAAUAAUAAUUUAUCAGGUCUUUGUAAAGUACUAAAAUAUUAAAUUUAAUAUUAAAUUUUAAGAAAAAAUGAUUUUAUAAGUAAAGUAUUAAUUUGUAUAAGGUUUCUCUAAAAUAAAUUAAUAAAGAUAAAUUAUAUAUAAAUUAUGGAACAGAAAAGGAACUCGGCAAAUAAAUUUCUUGCCUGUUUAUCAAAAACAUGUCUAUUAGAAGGUGUUUAUAGUCUAGCCUGCUCACUGACAAGAAUGUUAAAUAGCCGCGGUAUUUUGACCGUGCAAAGGUAGCAUAAUCAUUAGUUUUUUAAUUGAAAACUUGUAUGAAUGGUUGGACAAAGAAAAAGCUGUCUCUUCUAUUAAAAUUGAAAUUAACUUCUAAGUGAAAAGGCUUAGAUUUUCUAGAGGGACGAUAAGACCCUAUAAAGCUUUAUAGAUUGAGUGGAUUAAACCAAUUUUUUAGAAUAAAAGUAAAUUUGGAAGAUUUAUUUGGUUGGGGCGACAAAUGUAUAAUGUUAAAUAACUGCUAUUAAAUUUAAACAAUUAUAUUUGAUAAAAAUUUAAAUGAUCCUUAAUAAAGAUUAAAAGAUCAAGUUACUUUAGGGAUAACAGCGUAAUUUCUUUUAAGAGUUCUUAUCAAAGAAGGAGUUUGCGACCUCGAUGUUGAAUUAAAAUGUCUUUAUAGUGCAGCAGCUAUAAAAGAAGGUCUGUUCGACCUUUAAUUUUUUACAUGAUUUGAGUUCAGACCGGCGUAAGCCAGGUCGGUUUCUAUCUUCUAGGAAGGAAUUGAAUUACUUUAGUACGAAAGGAUUAGGUAGUUAAAAUUUUUUUAAUAAUUGAAAU